CACUUCACAGCGAGUCCCGCCGGCACCCCGGAAGUGGGCGUGGGGGUCACCGAGGCGCGGAGAGGCUAAGCGGGGCACUUCGCACAGCGGGUGACACUUCCGGGCUUGACAUGGGGCGGGGGCGCUCAGAGCCCUCAGCCUCCGCGUGCGCGUCUAGGGGGCUCCGCGCCCCUGAUAACCCGGCCAGUGGGGAGGGAGCCAACUGCGCCCAGCCGCCGCCUGCCACCCAAUGGCGCAAGGACAGGCUGUGCGCAUGCGCUCUACCUCUUCCCGAGCUCACCCCGACUCAGCCCGAACCUCUCCGAGCGCCUUCGGGUAUCUCCGGCGGCCAGAAAGAGGAGGGAGCCGAGGGUGCGUGCGCGGUGCAUUGUGGGGCGGCAAGGAGCCGAGUCACCGCUGGGUUGGGGCCGCCAUCUUGUCUCCGACCGGAUUCGCUGCCGCCUCCGGGGCCUGCUCCUUCUCCUCAGUGAGCCAGGCGGGGGAGAGACCCAGCCAGGCUGAUGCGCGCGUCCCCUCGCGCCUCUCUCAGGUGCCGCUAGCGUCCAGGCUUCGGGCGGGGCGGCCGCGGCCGGGGGGCUCCGCCAUGGGUCGGUCCCGCAGCCGGAGCUCGUCCCGCUCCAAGCACACCAAGAGCUCCAAGCACACCAAGAAGAACCGGAGCCGCUCGCGGUCCCGCUCCCGGGAGAAGGAGCGGGCGCGCAAGCGCUCCAAGUCCCGGGAGACCAAGCGGAACCGGCGCCGCGAGUCCCGCUCCCGGUCCCGCUCCAACACGGCCCCCUCGUCCCGCCGGGAGCGCGAGCGGGAGCGCGCCUCGUCCCCCCCGGACCGCAUCGACAUCUUCGGGCGCACGGUGAGCAAGCGCAGCAGCCUGGACGAGAAGCAGAAGCGGGAGGAGGAGGAGAAAAAAGCGGAGUUCGAGCGGCAGCGGAAAAUACGCCAACAAGAAAUUGAAGAGAAACUCAUAGAGGAAGAGACUGCCCGAAGAGUGGAAGAGCUUGUGGCUAAGCGUGUAGAGGAAGAGCUGGAGAAACGGAAGGAUGAGAUUGAGCGAGAGGUUCUCCGCAGGGUGGAGGAGGCUAAGCGCAUCAUGGAAAAACAGUUGCUCGAAGAACUCGAGCGACAGCGACAAGCUGAACUUGCGGCACAAAAAGCCAGAGAGGUAACGCUCGGUCGUUUGGAAAGUAGAGACAGUCCAUGGCAAAACUUUCAGUGUCUGGUUGUGCCUCCUGUUCGGUUCAGAAAGAGAUGGAAUACAGCAAAUCUAAUUCCCUUCUCGUGUAAACUUGCAUUGCUGCGAAACUUAAUUUCUAGCCUAUUCAGAGGAGCUCACUGAUACUUAAAACAGUUACUCUCCUAAAACCUGUACAAGGAUACUUGAAUUUUAAUGGAACUGACCUACAUAUUUGAGAAUUGUUUGAAACUUUUGCCAUGGCUGCAGGAUUUAUCCACAAUCCUUUCUUAUUUGGGGGGAAAGGGUUAAAAUUUAUAAUAAUGUAUCCUUCAUUUGUUUCAUUUUAUUUACCUAGACUGUAAGAGGCUUUUUGCCUUCAGUCAGGAAAAGAGCAGGGUCCAGCACUGAGCUGCAGUACCUGUCUUUUAACUAGGUUUUCUUACUGUUCUCCCUUUAAAACAAACAUUCUCUUUGAGCAUACAUUGGACUAAUUCUUGUACUUUGAACAUAAGCCCAGCCACCGUCUUCACCAAGGACUUAUGUCCAAAUCAUUAUAUUCAUUUUUCAGUAACUACUAACUCCUUUUUUCCUCUAGAAUUUAUUAAGGAGCAGGUUGUCCUUGUCUGAAGUCAAGCUAAACAUGUUACUUGUUUUAUCAGCAGCUGGAGGAAAAGCUGAAAAACGUCUUUCUGUGAGGCAGUAAUUUGCUACUAAGGCUUUGAUGCUUGUCCGCACUAAUCACUCCAGGAUCCAAAAAUUUAAAGUCAAUCUUUUAAACCCUUAAAGAAAAUUCAGCUAAACAGCACUGAGUGUCCAAUAACUCUCUCACUCCGUACUUCUUUUAAUAAUUGGUCUAAAUGAAUAACUUGAUUAGUUUACAACAGGAAAGUCAUUAAUAAUGGUGCUUUCCCCUUCAGGCUAAACAUCAACUGUUUGUCUGCCAAUAUAAUAUCUUUGAAAUAAAAGCUCUUUUGCUGAGACUUAAGAUAUGCAGAAUUUCACAUGUGUGCAAUUCAAAGUUCAACUUUAAGAGAAAUGCAUUUUGAUGUUAGAUACAUUAAAAUUUGCUGAAAUUUGUAUAUAGUGGAUUUCAGUUGACUAAAUGGAUGCAUCAUUCAUAAAAAGGUUUUUAAAAACCAUAAUUGAAGUUUGAUGCGGAGUAGUUACAUCGGUGCUUUACUAUGUAAAAUAAAUUUCAAUUCCUGGAGCACAGCCUGCUAGCUAGUAGCUGAUUACUAGUCAUCGUAAGAAGUUUUCUCUUCAUAUGCUUGUUUUGUUUCAUAUUAACUUUUUUUUUUACACAGACACAAACCUCUGGCUGAUUUAAAU